GACGAACCGAGCGAACGUUGUUCGGAAUCACUGGGCUUAAAGGGCGCGUAGGCGGGCCGCCGCGUCCGGGGUGAAAUCCUCCCGCUCAACGGGAGAACGGCCUCGGAUACGGGCGGCCUGGAGGGGGGUAGGGGCGUGCGGAACUGUGGGUGGAGCGGUGAAAUGCGUUGAUAUCCACAGGAACUCCGGUGGCGAAGGCGGCACGCUGGACCCCACCUGACGCUGAGGCGCGAAAGCCAGGGAGCGAACGGG
rnacentral:rRNA from 1 species